CCUGGGUGACAGAGUGUGAGACUCUGAAUCUAAAAAAAAAAAAAAAAGGAAAAAAAAAUAAAUAGGGGGGAUCAGUAUGUGUAUGCACCCCUGUAACAUCACACUGUACCUACUUGCAAAGAAAAAAGGGGUUGGGAGUUCCAAGUCAUGGGAGUCAGAGACCCAGAGAAAUCAGAUUGCCUAGGAAGCUGGCAAUAUGAAAAUAUUAUAUGUGUAUUCAUUUUCUUCUUGGAGGUUUCCACUCUUGAAACACCACCACUUCCCUGGGUCAGAGGGUUCUCAAACUCUAACAUACAGCAGAAUCUCCUAGACGGCUCUGUAAAACCCAGACUGCUGGCCUCAUGCCCAGAGCUCCCAGUAAGUAGAUCUGGGUGGACCUGAAAAUUUGCAUUUCUAACAGGUUCCCAGGUGAUGCUGAUGCUGCUGUUCUAGCAACCACACUUUGAGAACCCCUGCCCUAGGCAUUGCAUUCCAGAACUCUCUCCAUGUUAGACAGUCUCACUCUCAUUUAUUUUGUAAAUAUUGAGCCCUUACCAGAUGCCAGGUACUGUGCUAGAAGCAGGGAAUCCCAGAACCACCCUGCCUUGGUCUUUACCGAGAACAGUCGACCUGUCAGAUUCCCUCACAGAAAGGACCCCAGUACACGGCCCUGCAGCUCCCGAAGGCCAGCUCUGCUGCAACCCCUCCUCUGUCCAACACAGUCCUCACUGGUGUCUUUUCC
rnacentral:lncRNA from 1 species